UUAAGCGACUAAGCGUACACGGUGGAUGCCCUGGCAGUCAGAGGCGAUGAAGGACGUGCUAAUCUGCGAAAAGCGUCGGUAAGGUGAUAUGAACCGUUAUANCACUAUCGUUAACUGAAUACAUAGGUUAACGAGGCGAACCGGGGGAACUGAAACAUCUAAGUACCCCGAGGAAAAGAAAUCAACCGAGAUUCCCCCAGUAGCGGCGAGCGAACGGGGAGCAGCCCAGAGUCUGAAUCAGCUUGUGUGUUAGUGGAACGGUCUGGAAAGUCCGACGGUACAGGGUGAUAGUCCCGUACACCAAAAUGCACAGGCUGUGAACUCGAAGAGUAGGGCGGGACACGUGGUAUCCUGUCUGAAUAUGGGGGGACCAUCCUCCAAGGCUAAAUACUCCUGACUGACCGAUAGUGAACCAGUACCGUGAGGGAAAGGCGAAAAGAACCCCGGCGAGGGGAGUGAAAAAGAACCUGAAACCGUGUACGUACAAGCAGUGGGAGCACCUUCGGGUGUGACUGCGUACCUUUUGUAUAAUGGGUCAGCGACUUAUAUUCUGUAGCAAGGUUAACCGUAUAGGGGAGCCGCAGGGAAACCGAGUCUUAACUGGGCGUUAAGUUGCAGGGUAUAGACCCGAAACCCGGUGAUCUAGCCAUGGGCAGGUUGAAGGUUGGGUAACACUAACUGGAGGACCGAACCGACUAAUGUUGAAAAAUUAGCGGAUGACUUGUGGCUGGGGGUGAAAGGCCAAUCAAACCGGGAGAUAGCUGGUUCUCCCCGAAAGCUAUUUAGGUAGCGCCUCGUGAACUCAUCUUCGGGGGUAGAGCACUGUUUCGGCUAGGGGGUCAUCCCGACUUACCAACCCGAUGCAAACUACGAAUACCGAAGAAUGUUAUCACGGGAGACACACGGCGGGUGCUAACGUCCGUCGUGAAGAGGGAAACAACCCAGACCGCCAGCUAAGGUCCCAAAGUCAUGGUUAAGUGGGAAACGAUGUGGGAAGGCACAGACAGCCAGGAUGUUGGCUUAGAAGCAGCCAUCAUUUAAAGAAAGCGUAAUAGCUCACUGGUCGAGUCGGCCUGCGCGGAAGAUGUAACGGGGCUAAACCAUGCACCGAAGCUGCGGCAGCGACACUAUGUGUUGUUGGGUAGGGGAGCGUUCUGUAAGCCUGCGAAGGUGACCUGUGAGGGUUGCUGGAGGUAUCAGAAGUGCGAAUGCUGACAUAAGUAACGAUAAAGCGGGUGAAAAGCCCGCUCGCCGGAAGACCAAGGGUUCCUGUCCAACGUUAAUCGGGGCAGGGUGAGUCGACCCCUAAGGCGAGGCCGAAAGGCGUAGUCGAUGGGAAACAGGUUAAUAUUCCUGUACUUGGUGUUACUGCGAAGGGGGGACGGAGAAGGCUAUGUUAGCCGGGCGACGGUUGUCCCGGUUUAAGCAUGUAGGCUGGUUAUCCAGGCAAAUCCGGAUAAUCAAGGCUGAGGUGUGAUGACGAGGCACUACGGUGCUGAAGUAACAAAUGCCCUGCUUCCAGGAAAAGCCUCUAAGCAUCAGGUAACAUCAAAUCGUACCCCAAACCGACACAGGUGGUCAGGUAGAGAAUACCAAGGCGCUUGAGAGAACUCGGGUGAAGGAACUAGGCAAAAUGGUGCCGUAACUUCGGGAGAAGGCACGCUGGUGUGUAGGUGAAGCCCCUGCGGGUGGAGCUGAGACCAGUCGAAGAUACCAGCUGGCUGCAACUGUUUAUUAAAAACACAGCACUGUGCAAACACGAAAGUGGACGUAUACGGUGUGACGCCUGCCCGGUGCCGGAAGGUUAAUUGAUGGGGUUAUCCGUAAGGAGAAGCUCUUGAUCGAAGCCCCGGUAAACGGCGGCCGUAACUAUAACGGUCCUAAGGUAGCGAAAUUCCUUGUCGGGUAAGUUCCGACCUGCACGAAUGGCGUAAUGAUGGCCAGGCUGUCUCCACCCGAGACUCAGUGAAAUUGAACUCGCUGUGAAGAUGCAGUGUACCCGCGGCAAGACGGAAAGACCCCGUGAACCUUUACUAUAGCUUGACACUGAACAUUGAGCCUUGAUGUGUAGGAUAGGUGGGAGGCUUUGAAGCGUGGACGCCAGUCUGCGUGGAGCCAACCUUGAAAUACCACCCUUUAAUGUUUGAUGUUCUAACGUUGGCCCCUUAUCGGGGUUGCGGACAGUGUCUGGUGGGUAGUUUGACUGGGGCGGUCUCCUCCCAAAGCGUAACGGAGGAGCACGAAGGUUAGCUAAUCCUGGUCGGACAUCAGGAGGUUAGUGCAAUGGCAUAAGCUAGCUUGACUGCGAGCGUGACGGCGCGAGCAGGUGCGAAAGCAGGUCAUAGUGAUCCGGUGGUUCUGAAUGGAAGGGCCAUCGCUCAACGGAUAAAAGGUACUCCGGGGAUAACAGGCUGAUACCGCCCAAGAGUUCAUAUCGACGGCGGUGUUUGGCACCUCGAUGUCGGCUCAUCACAUCCUGGGGCUGAAGUAGGUCCCAAGGGUAUGGCUGUUCGCCAUUUAAAGUGGUACGCGAGCUGGGUUUAGAACGUCGUGAGACAGUUCGGUCCCUAUCUGCCGUGGGCGCUGGAGAAUUGAGGGGGGCUGCUCCUAGUACGAGAGGACCGGAGUGGACGCAUCACUGGUGUUCGGGUUGUCAUGCCAAUGGCACUGCCCGGUAGCUAAAUGCGGAAGAGAUAAGUGCUGAAAGCAUCUAAGCACGAAACUUGCCCCGAGAUGAGUUCUCCCUGAGACUUUAAGUCUCCUGAAGGAACGUUAAAGACGAUGACGUUGAUAGGCCGGGUGUGUAAGCGCAGCGAUGCGUUGAGCUAACCGGUACUAAUGAACCGUGAGGCUUAACCUU
rnacentral:rRNA from 2 species